rnacentral:rRNA from 1 species
CGCGGUUAUUCCAAGUGUAAUAAGAUCAUAUCUGGAGGGAAAAAGACAGUUAGGUUUGAUGUAUAAAUUUAGUCUAUUAACCACCUAUAAAAAAGUAAAAUUUGUAUAUAGGUAGCUAAUCUAGAAAUGGCUAUAAUGAUGCUGAAGCUGUGAUAGUCUUGAGGGAAACUGGGAUUAGAUACCCCAUUAUUCUUGACUGUAAAUAUAAUCAAAUUUACCAGAGUACUAUGAACAGUUAAAAAUUUAAAACUCAAAGGGCUUGGCGGUGUUUUAGACCCAUCAGGGGAACCUGUCUCGUAAUCGACAAUCCACGUUAUAUCUGACCUCACUUUGUAUUCAGUUUGUAUACCGUCGUCGUCAGGUAACUUUUAAAAAUAUAGAAGUUAGCAAUAAAAAUUAUUUAAAUUAAGACGUCAGAUCAAGGUGCAGCCUAUAAUGAGGGGAGGAUGGGUUACAAUUAUUAAAUUUAUAAUUACGGAAAUUUAAAUGAAAAUAUAUUUAGAAGGAGGACUUGAAAGUAAACUAAAAUACAUAAAUAGUUUGAAUUAGGCUCUG